AAUCAAUGGUGUGGGCAUCAUUGGAUUAGGGUUUUAAAACACUCCCAAGUUUCAUGAAAACUUUCUCCUUCUAUUUGUUUAAAUGUUGUGAUCUCUCUCCUCAGUUG
rfam:Gossypium hirsutum cultivar TM-1 chromosome 8, whole genome shotgun sequence